rnacentral:tRNA from 2 species
GCCCGGCUAGCUCAAUCGGUAGAGCGUGAGACUCUUAGCUGAGACACACGUUCUAAUGCAAUCUCAAGGUUGCGGGUUCGACCCCCGCGUUGGGCU